AGGUUGUUGUCGUGACUUUUCUACCAAACUCAUCCAAAGUGCAAUAUUGUUGUGUGAUUUUACUUUAUUCGCGUGUUUUAGAUAGAUGACAACACAAAUUACUAUCAAGAUAGAUAAACAGAAGUUAAAUUUUAUUUACAAUUUAAGUAUUCAAAUAUUGUAUGCUUUGUCAUUACAUAAUUCAACCGACUAGAUCUACAACAACCUAUUCUCGGGAACCAGGUUCUGUAACCAACAUCCUACAGACACUUGGCUGGUCAACACUAGCAACACGCAGACAAGGAGCCAGGCUUAUACUCCUAUAUAAGAUCCUGCAUGGAGAAGCAUCAGUCAUUGUCCCAGAUUACAUCAGGAGACCAACUGUAACAACCAGACAAUACCACAGAGACAGGUUUUCCAGAGUCAGCACUUCAACGGAUGCCCAUAAACACAGUUUCAUCCCCAGAACAAAUUUUUGACUGGCACCAAUUACCUGAAAGUGCCAUCCAAGCCCCCACAACAGACGCCUUCCGGGUCUGUGUGUGGCAGUUCCUGGCAUGGAUGGUAACUGAAUCAAUACAAAUAGCCUCAUUGAAUUUGAAAAAAAGCUGCAUAUGAUAUCAGUAACAAAAGAUUGUUAGUGUGCAGUGUGCAGUGUGCAGACAGUGGUUAAACAGAAGUUAACAUUCUAUUAGUUUUGGGAUUUUACAAUCAAUGCCAAAAUGAAUGAUAAUGCUAGAGGAAGUAAUAGGAGAAAAAGGGACCUGUGUGGUAAAAACUUCCUAAAAGUCGUCCUUUAUGUGUUCAACUUUUUCUUUUGGCUGACAGCCCGGUUAGCUUUCCUAGCAAUAGGGUUAUAUAUCAAGUUCCAGAAGCAUACCUAUAUCAAUCUGCUAGGGAACAGUACUUUCCCUUUGGCAACAUACUUGCUACUAGGAACAGGAGCCUUUAUUAUCUUGUCAGGAAUCAUUAGUUGUACUGGGACAUGUAUAGAAAAUAGAUGUUUUAUGGUUAUGGUUGGAAGAGACUGAUGAACUAUACAUAUCUGGGAUACAGAAUCAAUGAAACAUCGUCAGUACUGAAAGGUCAACAUCAAAGAGGGGUCUGUGCUGUAGACUUCUCAGGUCGUCCAGGCUUUUCAGUGACCACAUACUUCAGAAGCUAUUCAUUGCUUGAGCAGUAUAACCCAUAUAUACAAUAUAAAAGAAAACAAGCCACCUAUGAAUGAAAAUUCAGCAGUCAAAGCUACUUACUGUUUAGCAUGAUGCUCAUGUUAAUUUUUUUCUGCUCAUGUCCUGAUCUGCAUAAAUCAUGAUAGAAGUUGUGGAGAAACUAUUUUAUCCUUGAAAAACAUGUACAAAAUGUAUCAAGUGGGUAGAAAUUAAAGUACAUGUAAGAUGUACAUGUUUAAUAGGACAAGACUGAAUUUGAAAGCUUCAAAGUGCAAAUAUUCAUGUGUGGAUAUGGUUGAUAUAAUGUACUUAGCAAUUACAUAAGAUACUGAAUAAAAUGGACUCAGCAGAUAUUCAAAAAAUGGAGUUGGAAAGGCUACAUCGCAAAUUACAUGAGCUGCAAUAGUUUCCUAAGUUGGAUACUUUGAUAAAAAGGAAACCGAAUAACAACUGAACAAACUUAAAGAAUAAAUGUAUACUUUCUGUAAGAAAAAUCAGAGACCUCAUCCACCAAACAGUUAGUUUCUGAAAAUGAAAGUGAAUUAGUGACGAUAGUGAGAACCUACCCAAAAUAAGAAUUAUGCUAUUCAUGGUAGAUAUUAGAUGUGUUCUUGUUUUUGUGAAUAUGCAAUGAGAAUUGUAAGCCAGAAUGGAAGUGACAAUUCAUCGAAUAGUACAAGGACAAUGAUAUGGCUACUUUUGCUGUAAACUGAAAGUAAAUCAGUCUUUGCCAAGUCAGCUGUAUGUUGAGAGAUGUUCAGAACAAAGCAACUCUGUUUGAAGAGGAAUCACAGCGGUCAAGACUUCAUCCUAAAGUUAAUUGUAUUAGAAGAGAAGCUUUAACAGUCAUAAAACAAUAACCAAUCUUCAGUUGGUAUUUUUAAAAGACUUAUAAUGUGGAUGUUACUUUACUAUCAUUUAUAUGACUUAAAUGUGGCAUUUUUCAUGUGAAGUUGAACUCAAAAGGCAAAGAAUUGGAUGUGACAAUAACUUGCAU